AUUGAACGCUGGCGGCAUGCCUUACACAUGCAAGUCGAACGGUAACGCGGGGCAACCUGGCGACGAGUGGCGAACGGGUGAGUAGUAUAUCGGAACGUGCCCAGUUGUGGGGGAUAACUGCUCGAAAGAGCAGCUAAUACCGCAUACGACCUGAGGGUGAAAGCGGGGGAUCGCAAGACCUCGCGCGAUUGGAGCGGCCGAUAUCAGAUUAGCUAGUUGGUGGGUUAAAGGCUCACCCAGCCAACGAUCUGUAGCUCGUCUGAGAGGACGACCAGCCACACUGGGACUGAGACACGGCCCAGACUCCUACGGGAGGCAGAAGUGGGGAAUAUUGGACAAUGGACGCAAGUCUGAUCCAGCCAUGCCGCGUGCGGGAAGAAGGCCUUCGGGUUGUAAACCGCUUUUGUCAGGGAAGAAACGCUCUGGGUUAAUACCUCGGGGUAAUGACGGUACCUGAAGAAUAAGCACCGGCUAACUACGUGCCAGCCGCCGCCGUAAUAC
rnacentral:rRNA from 1 species